CCUCCCAGAGUGCCCCACCAGUGACAGAAGUGACCCAUCCGAGGUCAUAAGUCAUUCUACUUUUGGAAACCUGUCCCAAGGAGACGCUCUCUCAUAUGAACAUUUCAGUUGCAGAGAUGAGUGUUUCUAGUAACAAAAAUUUGCAACAACUUUAAGAGCCAAUGAUGGGAGAUGGCUGCAUGGAUGAUGGCAUGCUCACAGGGAUUCUGUGUGUUUUAAGGUGUGUUUUACACCCCGGGAGGAUGGAAGUGCUGCCAGCCUGGAGGAGUGGGCCCUGGAGAGGGACUUCUCAGGUGGAUUUUGGUGCAGGUGGGGCUGGGGACCUCUGCCAGGGCUGCCUGCUCACCCAGAUCCCAGAGGGCCAGCUGGAGAUGCAGGUCUUCAGGCCUUGGUCAAGAU